GGAAAUUGAGAAAUAUACAUACCAGACAUGGCAAAGGGCAUGAUAAGAAUGCAUAAGGUAUGAAAGUUGGGGAGUUCAAGAAACAGAAACUUCAUGAAGAUGAGGAAACUUAGGCUGAGAGAGGUGGAAUGAGUUGCCCAGAUUCACAUAGUGAGUGUCUGAAGUAAGAUAUGAAGGUGAAUCGCUGCUAAUCCCAAGUCUGCUCUACCGCCUAGCUGCCCAGAAUUGGAGAAGAACCAAAAAAGGAGUUGGUCUGGGGAAGUUGUCCUGGUAACACUUCAUCAAUGGUAAUAUGUUGUAGCCUCCUCAUAUAUACAACUCUGUUGUCAUUUGGGUGACCCUGUAAUUCCAUUCCAUGGAGAUGUCAAGAGAUCUGGAAGAAGGCCAUGUUGAAUGGACCUCCAAAAGGAUUAAUACAAGCCUUGAGUGUCUCUGGAGACAAUGAAGAAAUAUAUCUUAAAUAUUUGUAAUCCUGAUGCUGUCGUGAGCAAACAGGUUCUGCCUGGAGAAAGCCUUCUAUCAUAAGGAAUUGAGAUUAUUAACUAAUGAUUGAGAAAACUGACUUAUCAGAAUAAAAUUUGCCAAUGGGACUCCUAGGAUGUGUGGACAUGUUUCCAUUCUGAUAAGUGAGGAGCCAAGCCUGUAAUUUGUCCGCCAUAUCCAUCCUUCGCACCCCACCCCCGGCAGCAAGUUCUUCUUCAGUUACUGCGAAAAUUGUCUAUUGCUCUUCAUAAGCUUCUGCCCAAGGCUUUCCUUCUGCCUUUUACAAUCACCUUGGCCUUUCUAGGGAAGAUUAAGAAUGGUAAAAAAAGAAAAAUGGAAAAUGUACCAGGCUGGAAAACAAAGUGACCUGAAACCAAGACAGCUAAUGAUGAUACUGAAAAGUGACAUGGAACAGCUUUGAAUUCACAGGCUGAUAGAUUUGAUGUAACCUUCACAGAUUACCCUGAAGGCAAGAGAAACUCUGAUGCUGCUUUCUCACUUGAAACCUUGGAAACAUUUUUGGUUUCUGGGAUCCAGAGUUUAUAGGGCAUAUAUUGGCUUUUUAGAGUAGAUGGUUUUAAAGUUUUUUUUAUUAGAACACAUUGUAAGCAUAUUUAUAUAUAUAUAAUCACACAUAUACAUGUAUGUAUACAUAUAUGUACAUAUCCAUUGUAGUACUAGAUAGCUUAGUAGCAGGGGUGGGGAACCCAUGGCCUUGAGGCCACAUGUGGCCCUCUAGGUCCUUGAGUGCAUCCCUUUGACAGAAUUCAAACUUCACUGAAGUUCACUAAUUAGAAUUCAACAUCAGAAACCAACUUCACUGGUUUGGAUUCAGUCAAAGGGCCACACUUGAGGACCUAGAGGACCACGUAUGGUCUUGGGGUCACGGGUUCCCCAUAUCUGGGUCUCAGUGGAUAGAGUGCUAAACUUGGAGUCAAGAACUGAGUUCAAAUCCUCCCCUAGAUACUGCAUGA